rnacentral:rRNA from 1 species
UGACAUGAGUAACGACAAUGCGAGUGAAAAACUCGCACGCCGAAAGACCAAGGUUUCCUGCGCAACGUUAAUCGACGCAGGGUUAGUCGGUCCCUAAGGCGAGGCAGAAAUGCGUAGUCGAUGGGAAACAGGUUAAUAUUCCUGUACUUCUAGUUACUGCGAUGGAGGGACGGAGAAGGCUAGGCCAGCUUGGCGUUGGUUGUCCAAGUUUAAGGUAGUAGGCAGAGUGCUUAGGUAAAUCCGGGCGCUUAAUGCUGAGAGCUGAUGACGAGCGUUCUUUUAGAACGUGAAGUGGUUGAUGCCAUGCUUCCAGGAAAAGCUUCUAAGCUUCAGGUAACUAGGAACCGUACCCCAAACCGACACAGGUGGUUGGGUAGAGAAUACCAAGGCGCUUGAGAGAACUCGGGUGAAGGAACUAGGCAAAAUGGCACCGUAACUUCGGGAGAAGGUGCGCCGGUGAGGGUGAAGUAUUUACUACGUAAGCCCACGCCGGUCGAAGAUACCAGGCCGCUGCGACUGUUUAUUAAAAACACAGCACUCUGCAAACACGAAAGUGGACGUAUAGGGUGUGACGCCUCCCCGGUGCCGGAAGGUUAAUUGAUGGGGUUAGCGCAAGCGAAGCUCUUGAUCGAAGCCCCGGUAAACGGCGGCCGUAACAAUAACGGUCCUAAGGUAGCGAAAUUCCUUGUCGGGUAAGUUCCGACCUGCACGAAUGGCGUAACGAUGGCGGCGCUGUCUCCACCCGAGACUCAGUGAAAUUGAAAUCGCUGUGAAGAUGCAGUGUAUCCGCGGCUAGACGGAAAGACCCCGUGAACCUUUACUAUAGCUUUGCACUGGACUUUGAAUUUGCUUGUGUAGGAUAGGUGGGAGGCUUUGAAGCGUGGACGCCAGUCCGCGUGGAGCCAAUCUUGAAAUACCACUCUGGCAACUUUGAGGUUCUAACUCUGGUCCGUUAUCCGGAUCGAGGACAGUGUAUGGUGGGUAGUUUGACUGGGGCGGUCUCCUCCUAAAGAGUAACGGAGGAGUACGAAGGUGCGCUCAGACCGGUCGGAAAUCGGUCGUAGAGUAUAAAGGCAAAAGCGCGCUUGACUGCGAGACAGACACGUCGAGCAGGUACGAAAGUAGGUCUUAGUGAUCCGGUGGUUCUGUAUGGAAGGGCCAUCGCUCAACGGAUAAAAGGUACUCCGGGGAUAACAGGCUGAUACCGCCCAAGAGCU